AAUUUUGAUGGGGAUGGAGUCCCCCGAUACCCGCCGGAUGGCUGAUGACUCCUACCGGGCG
rnacentral:ncRNA from 2 species